rnacentral:rRNA from 1 species
GACGAACGCUGGCGGCGUGCUUAACACAUGCAGGUCGAACGGAAAGGCCCUGCUUUUGUGGGGUGCUCGAGUGGCGAACGGGUGAGUAACACGUGAGUAACCUGCCCUUGACUUUGGGAUAACUUCAGGAAACUGGGGCUAAUACCGGAUAGGAGCUCCUGCUGCAUGGUGGGGGUUGGAAAGUUUCGGCGGUUGGGGAUGGACUCGCGGCUUAUCAGCUUGUUGGUGGGGUAGUGGCUUACCAAGGCUUUGACGGGUAGCCGGCCUGAGAGGGUGACCGGCCCCAUUGGGACUGAGAUACGGCCCAGACUCCUACGGGAGGCAGCAGUGGGGAAUAUUGCACAAUGGGCGGAAGCCUGAUGCAGCAACGCCGCGUGCGGGAUGACGGCCUUCGGGUUGUAAACCGCUUUCGCCUGUGACGAAGCGUGAGUGACGGUAAUGGGUAAAGAAGCACCGGCUAACUACGUG